rnacentral:rRNA from 1 species
CCAAUAGCGUAUAUUAAAGUUGUUGCAGUUAAAAAGCUCGUAGUUGAAUUUCGGGGUUAGUAGGUUGGUCAUGCCUCUGGUAUGUACUGGUCUCACUGAUUCCUCCUUCCUGAUGAGCCGUAAUGCCAUUAAUUUGGUGUCGCGGGGAAUUUGGACUGUUACUUUGAAAAAAUUAGAGUGUUUAAAGCAAGCUAACGCUUGAAUACAUUAGCAUGGAAUAAUGAAAUAGGACGUUCGAUCCUAUUUUGUUGGUUUCUAGGAUUGACGUAAUGAUUAAUAGGGAUAGUUGGGGGCAUUAGUAUUCAAUUGUCAGAGGUGAAAUUCUUGGAUUUAUUGAAGACUAACUACUGCGAAAGCAUUUGCCAAGAAUGUUUUCAUUAAUCAAGAACGAAAGUUAGGGGAUCGAAGACGAUCAGAUACCGUCGUAGUCUUAACCAUAAACUAUGCCGACUAGGGAUCGGAUGAUGUUAAUUUUUUAAUGACUCAUUCGGCGCCUUACG